rnacentral:lncRNA from 1 species
UAGUCACCUACUUGGGGGCUAGGGUUACUAUACUCUUAUGAUUAUAGAGCACUUCGUACUCAUAAGUUAUUUGUACUGAUGGAGCUUUUGAAUCGAUGAUCCGCUCCCUUAAAUAUGAUCAAGAGUAUUUGAAACUUUUAGAAAAUAAAUUUCGUAAUUUUUUGAAAUCAUAAUAAAGUUCAUCAAGUGGGUAUAAAAUGAACAGUUAAAAUCGAACGACGUCUUAAAAAUGGAUGAUCGGAUCAUUCAAUUUAAGAUCGGAGUUAUUGAUCUUUAUUUAUGUAGCGAAUAGAAUUUUCUAUUAAAAAUUCAACUGAUUUCGAUUCUUUUACACCGUUAAACUAGCAAAUAUUCCACACCGACCGUUAAAAAUUAUCAAUUUUGUGACUUUUUGAUCGUAAGGUAAAUAAUGGCAAAAAAUUAUAAAAUUUAAUUUCUAGAUGUUUUAAAUGUUCUAAAUAACGUUUAACGGUGUGAAUCGUCGAUUCGGAAGCUCUAUCAUCGAAAACAAAAUACGAGUACGAGUACGAUCGUACCCAUAAGAGUAUAAUAGCCGGACUCUCCACUUGGGUACAAAUACAAUCAACACCUCUCUUUCACUCUCUCUCUCUCUCUCUCUCUCUUUCUCUUUUG